AUUGAACGCUGGCGGCAGGCCUAACACAUGCAAGUCGAACGAGUGGCGGACGGGUGAGUAAUGUCUGGGAAACUGCCCGAUGGAGGGGGAUAACUACUGGAAACGGUAGCUAAUACCGCAUACCAUCGGAUGUUCCAAGAUUGGAUUAGCUGGUAGGUGGGGGAAAGGCUCACCUAGGCGACGAUCCCUAGCUGGUCUGAGAGGAUGACCAGUCACACUGGAACUGAGACACGGUCCAGACUCCUACGGGAGGCAGCAGUGGGGAAUAUUGCACAAUGGGCGCAAGCCUGAUGCAGCCAUGCCGCGUGUGUGAAGAAGGCCUUCGGGUUGUAAAGCACUUUCAGCGGGGAGGCGUUACCCGCAGAAGAAGCACCGGCUAACUCCGUGCCAGCAGCCGCGGUAAUUC
rnacentral:rRNA from 1 species